AACGAACGCUGGCGGCGUGGAUAAGACAUGCAAGUCGAACGGGACAACAUCUGUAGCAAUACAGGUGUUGUUUAGUGGCGAACGGGUGCGUAACACGUGGGCAAUCUGCCGAGAAGUGGGGGAUAGCUCGCCGAAAGGCGAAUUAAUACCGCAUAUGAUCAGUGAAGACAUCUUCACGACAUCAAAGCCGGGGCAACCUGGCGCUUCUUGAUGAGCCCGCGGCCUAUCAGCUAGUUGGUGAGGUAACGCUCACCAAGGCUAUGACGGGUAGCUGGUCUGAGAGGACGACCAGUCACACUGGAACUGAGACACGGUCCAGACACCUACGGGUGGCAGCAGUCGA
rnacentral:rRNA from 1 species